CAACUGUUUACUUUAUUUGGUUUAAUGUAACCAUGUUCAUUUCACCUUCACCUUUCACAAAAUAACAUGAACCCAAAUAGUCGCUAAUUUGACAGGUUGAUCAGUUCCAAACAAAAAUGUACAAAUUAAAGCACUUUUUGCAAAGAAAAACUGAUAGUCUCAAAAAGAGUGAACAGGAGUCGAGCAGUUUCUACAUGUCUACACACUAUUUACCAUUUCGGAGAUACCAAUGUGAAGAAAAAAGUGACGGAGCAAGUGAACUUAUGGACUUCGAAGUUAUGAAAUCAGCAUCUAAUGUUGUUGACAAGGUUGAUGUUACAAUCAAAGAUAGACUUGGACUUUCAACAAAAGACUGCCUGGGAUGCAAGAUUGUCUCAUCCAUGUCAUUGAUUGGAAUAUUCUCUCUUCUGAGUUUCCAAGCGAGAAAAUUAAAACAUCCUCAGCCAGAAAGGACAACAAGAACAAUUAGCACAUUGAUUUUAGCUUUCUGUUGUGUGUCACUUUUAAGAAGAGUUUGGACUGAUCGUAAACCUGAUUCGGAUAAAAACAGUUGAUAUGUUAUUUACCUGUAUAAAUAAAUAUGAUGAACUAUAAA